rnacentral:lncRNA from 1 species
GAAUAUAGAGACAAAUCAUAUAUAAAAAGGUCUUCUAUUAGGGUAUUCUUUUAAAGGUUAGGAAAGUUGUAUGCGCAUGAACAUUAACAGAAAACAAAAAAAAAACUCACGGCAAAUCGUAUAGUUAUUUUCUUCUCUUGGAGAAAGUGGUUCCAGCUGGAGAACUUACCGCCUUACAAUCCCUUGCAAAAGAGGCAACCUUUCUUUCGUUCUCUACGGGUAAAGUUUGAAGUUACUUUUGGUUAUAAGAUGACUAGACAAUUAACCUUAAAAAUAUGUAUAUAAGUAUAUUAAAGAAUAUUCAGAUUUGUAGGUUAUAAUACUAAUCGUAGUUUUUGUAAAUUAAGCAACGAGAUUCGGCCUUUUCUCAUUUCAAGAUCCAAGGAAGGAGGCGAAGUGGCGAACUAACUAAUUGAUUUUUCCAAAUUAACAAAGACAACAAAAAAGUGAGGUAAAACGAAUCAACAUACUACUACUACUAAGAAUUUCCUUUGAGUGUACUUAAGGUUAGGUGCAGUGCACAAAAGAGAAAAUAAACAUUACAUUAGGUUUUCAUUUAGUGUGGGGUAAAAGUAAUAUGAAAUUGGUCUUGAUUUCUGCUUAAGAAAAACCCAACAAAAAUCAAAUAAUUAAAACAGGUAAGAUGAACGAGUCGUUAUCUUCCCGACUAAAAGUUUCACUAUAAUUUUUAAUUAAUAACUCACUUGUCGUCACACUGGAUCCCCUCGAAAUCAAAGACUUCAAAGUCGAUGAAACAAGAGAAGAUGCAUUUAUCAAUUUAAUCAUCGAUCUUUUAACCAAAAAAAAAUAUCACCAUCAAUAGUUCCACCAAUUGAAGUAUAUAAAACUAUAGUAUUGAAUUCCGUUUCCAUUCUUCACAGCUUGUCAUAACAAUAAGGCAACCGAUUGUAAAUUCUUGCUAUAAAAAAAACUUAACCUCUAUGAAAUUAAUAGUACGUAAUUAAAAAAAAAAACUAACUUCUAUGAAAUUAUUAGAAAUAUUUAAUAGUACUUAAUAAUAAAGAAAAAUCGGUGGCCUGAUAUCUCCGUCACCGUUUAAGUCGUCGCCUUUUCAGACACUAACACUGCAAGUGGAGGUGAGCGUAUACUUAACGGCGCUAUUUCCAACGCUAACUCCGGCGGCACUAUUCCCAGAGUUGAUAUACGCCGGACACCUAACGUAGAGAUGACGUGUCCCAGUGGUGUAAUCCCC